GCACUUCUGAGGAGUCCCACAAUAGGACGAAACGGGUGUCCAGUGC
rnacentral:hammerhead_ribozyme from 1 species